rnacentral:tRNA from 1 species
GGCGCCGUUGGUCUAGUGGUAUGAUUCUCGCUUAGGGUCACACCCUGAAGCACAGCUUGCGAGAGGUCCCGGGUUCAAUCCCCGGAUGCGCCC